AUACGGAGGGUACAAGCGUUAUUCGGAAUCACUGGGCGUAAAGGACGCGUAGGCGGGUUGGCAAGUCAGAUGUGAAAUCCUACAGCUUAACUGUAGAACUGCAUUUGAAACUGCUAAACUGGAGUAUGGGAGGGGGAGAUGGAAUUAGUGGUGUAGGGGUAAAAUCCGUAGAUAUCACUAGGAAUACCGAAAGCGAAGGCGAUCUCCUGGAACAUAACUGACGCUAAGGCGUGAAAGCGUGGGGAGCAAACAGGAUUAGAAACCCUAGUAGUCC
rnacentral:rRNA from 1 species